CACAUCAAGAAGCUAAACAGGACAGCACUAGCCUUUUAAGCUAGAAAAAGAGAAUUCCGCCUCUCCUUGAUGA
rnacentral:tRNA from 1 species